rnacentral:rRNA from 1 species
UGAAUCAGUAUGUGUGUUAGUGGAAGCGUCUGGAAAGGCGCGCGAUACAGGGUGACAGCCCCGUACACAAAAAUGCACAUGCUGUGAGCUCGAUGAGUAGGGCGGGACACGUGGUAUCCUGUCUGAAUAUGGGGGGACCAUCCUCCAAGGCUAAAUACUCCUGACUGACCGAUAGUGAACCAGUACCGUGAGGGAAAGGCGAAAAGAACCCCGGCGAGGGGAGUGAAAAAGAACCUGAAACCGUGUACGUACAAGCAGUGGGAGCACGCUUAGGCGUGUGACUGCGUACCUUUUGUAUAAUGGGUCAGCGACUUAUAUUCUGUAGCAAGGUUAACCGAAUAGGGGAGCCGAAGGGAAACCGAGUCUUAACUGGGCGUUAAGUUGCAGGGUAUAGACCCGAAACCCGGUGAUCUAGCCAUGGGCAGGUUGAAGGUUGGGUAACACUAACUGGAGGACCGAACCGACUAAUGUUGAAAAAUUAGCGGAUGACUUGUGGCUGGGGGUGAAAGGCCAAUCAAACCGGGAGAUAGCUGGUUCUCCCCGAAAGCUAUUUAGGUAGCGCCUCGUGAAUUCAUCUCCGGGGGUAGAGCACUGUUUCGGCAAGGGGGUCAUCCCGACUUACCAACCCGAUGCAAACUGCGAAUACCGGAGAAUGUUAUCACGGGAGACACACGGCGGGUGCUAACGUCCGUCGUGAAGAGGGAAACAACCCAGACCGCCAGCUAAGGUCCCAAAGUCAUGGUUAAGUGGGAAACGAUGUGGGAAGGCCCAGACAGCCAGGAUGUUGGCUUAGAAGCAGCCAUCAUUUAAAGAAAGCGUAAUAGCUCACUGGUCGAGUCGGCCUGCGCGGAAGAUGUAACGGGGCUAAACCAUGCAC